AAAGAGGUGAGGAGGCAAAUCAUUAGUCUGCUCGUGUUUGGAGUAGGAAAUAAAAGCUGCAGCCCAGGGAGGUGGUGUUGUCAUACUCUAACUGCUUAAACAUCACAUAACUUUGUGAUAGAAGACUUCCCAGGCACCUUUGAAAUUCCAAAAUGUGGUCCACCUCUUCCGCUUUAAAUGUCUACCUGAAGAUGAGAUGGGUUGUGUUCCUUGCUGCUGGUGGUGAAGGGAACUGACAGAGCAAGUUCAGACAAGCCCACCCCAUCUCUCAUCCAGGUCUUGCCUCUUCUGUUGUCAGAAGAAUCAAAAAGCCAAAUUGGGUGAUGGUUCUUGUGAGAAGGACACACAAUCACCAAGAUCCCAACUGAAACA